GAUGAACGCUGGCGGCGUGCUUAACACAUGCAAGUCGAACGGGAAACCUUUUAUUGAAGCUUCGGCAGAUUUAGCUGGUGUCUAGUUGCGGACGGGUGAGUAACGCGUGGGUAACCUGCCUUAUACAGGGGGAUAACAGUCAUAAAUGGCUGCUAAUACCGCAUAAGCGCACAGAGCUGCAUGGCUCAGUGUGAAAAACUCCGGUGGUAUAAGAUGGACCCGCGUUGGAUUAGCUGGUUGGUAGGGUAACGGCCCACCAAGGCGGCGAUCCAUAGCCGGCCUGGGAGGGUGAACGGUCACAAUGGGACUGAGGCACGGCCCAGACCCCGACGGGAGGCAGCAGUGGGGAAUAUUGCACAAUGAGGGAGACCCUGAUGCAGCGACGCCGCGUGAAGGAAGCAGUAUCUCGGUAUGUAAACUUCUAUCAGCAGGGAAGAUAGUGACGGUACCUGACUAAGAAGCCCCGGCUAACUACGUG
rnacentral:rRNA from 1 species